UGAAGUUGGCACCAGUAUUGCGCGAUGCCACCAGCGAUGGUGGUGCCAUCCGGCGAAAAUCGCUCGUUUUUAAUGCAUACACCCAAUAACUGCAUAUUUUGUUGUUUCAUUUGUAGUAUUUUAACAAAGGAGGUUGGUUAUCUAUAUGUUGGUGGGAUGGUACAACAUUUUGCAACGAUGGAAGUGUCGACACAGAUUACUCAAUUUGACAGAAAAAUAAUCGAGUGCGAAUACGGCGAUAGUCAGUGGAAAUUCAAGUGUGAAAAGAAAGACAAAUUGUUUCCAAACGCGAAACUACUCUAGUGGUGUUCGAAAGUGUCCAGAAUUCAGUGACGAAAGAAGUACUCGAACAUUUCAUUGAAGAUCUAUUUGAAAAAUCGAAUGGUGAGGUUUCUUUGGCAGAACCAAUACAUAAUAUCGAUUCAGAUGAAGAUGUUCCAGUGCAACAAACUGAUUUGAUCGGCGUUGACACACAAUCACCAACGAUUCAUGAUGCCGCCAGCACAUUGAACAAAGACAUGGACAUAUAAACAUAAGAACAGUACGCCACCGCAAAUUAGAAAUGAAAUGUCCCGAGACCAGUGUUUGGUUGAAAUAAUAUUUUAAGAUGAGAUAACCAGAUAAGAUAGAUAAGAUAUUAUCUUUUAUCUUAUCUAGAUGAAAAAUUCAUUUUGCGGAUUUAUCUUAUCUUCAUCUUUUCUUCAUAUUUUUCUAAUUAUCUAUUGUCAUAUUUUAGAUAAGUUUUAAGAUAAACGAAGGCUUAAUAAGUAGAACGGGUGGGUUUUGAAUGAAAAACAUUUGCAUUUUACGGAACAUUUAGACAUUUUUUUUUACAUUUUCGUUCAAUUUUUGAUUGAUAUUUUAUUCUCAAUCGUUUGUCCGACUCAUCAUUCAUCAAAACA